rnacentral:rRNA from 1 species
UGAUUGACGAUGGAUCACCAGUGAGUGGCGGACGGGUGAGUAACACGUAGGUAACCUGCCCCGGAGCGGGGGAUAACAUUUGGAAACAGAUGCUAAUACCGCAUAACAACAAAAGCCACAUGGCUUUUGUUUGAAAGAUGGCUUUGGCUAUCACUCUGGGAUGGACCUGCGGUGCAUUAGCUAGUUGGUAAGGUAACGGCUUACCAAGGCGAUGAUGCAUAGCCGAGUUGAGAGACUGACCGGCCACAAUGGAACUGAGACACGGUCCAUACUCCUACGGGAGGCAGCAGUAGGGAAUCUUCCACAAUGGGCGCAAGCCUGAUGGAGCAACACCGCGUGAGUGAAGAAGGGUUUCGGCUCGUAAAGCUCUGUUGUUGGAGAAGAACGUGCGUGAGAGUAACUGUUCACGCAGUGACGGUAUCCAACCAGAAAGUCACGGCUAACUACGUGCCAGCAGCCGCGGUAAUACGUAGGUGGCAAGCGUUAUCCGGAUUUAUUGGGCGUAAAGCGAGCGCAGGCGGUUGCUUAGGUCUGAUGUGAAAGCCUUCGGCUUAACCGAAGAAGUGCAUCGGAAACCGGGCAACUUGAGUGCAGAAGAGGACAGUGGAACUCCAUGUGUAGCGGUGGAAUGCGUAGAUAUAUGGAAGAACACCAGUGGCGAAGGCGGCUGUCUGGUCUGCAAACUGACGCUGAGGCUCGAAAGCAUGGGUAGCGAACAGGAUUAGAUACCCUGGUAGUCCAUGCCGUAAACGAUGAGUGCUA